UUUGAUGCUCCAAAUUAAAUUAAGUUGAAGAAUUCAUGACUGAGAAUUUGACAAAUUCGGAACAUAUUUUGGAUGAAUUUGAUUUUGAACGAGAUACUGAAAUAUUUUAAUAGACCAAAUUAUAUUCAUUUCACAAAUUCGAACUCAACGCGACCCGACUCAAACUCAAAUACAAAUCGGAGCUCAAUUCCAUCCAAUCCACGCAGGCCCAUAUCAAAUCCGAAUUCAAAUUCAAAUAACCCAAAUCCAAACGGAUCUUCAUCAAGCCCAAAAUGAUUUGAACCCAAAACCAAUUCAAAAAUAAAAUUAGCCCAUCCCAUACUCAUCUCUAAAUCCCAUAUUAAACCCAAAUCCAAAUCUCAAAUUGAUUCUAAAUCCAAAUCCGAAUUUCAAUCCGAAUCUCAAAUUGAUUCUAAAUCCAAAUCCAAAUCCAAAUCCCAAAUCAAGUCCAAAUCCAAUUUAAGCCCAAAAUGAGCCCAUGAUCCAAAUCUAAAUUGAGCCAUUAAAAUGAGCUCAUAUUACAUCUAAGUCCAAAUCCUCAUGAAGCCCAGAGCCCAUUUACAAAUGGCCCCAGUCCAAAACCCAUUUGGGCCCACUAUCUAAGCCCAUUAUCCGAAACUCAUUAAAACCAUUAACCCAUAAACCCAUAUACAUAAACCUAUAUACAUUUACCCAUGAACCCAUACACAUUUAACCCAUAUCUAAGCCCAUAACCUUAACCAAGUCCAUGAACUUUGAACCAAAACCAUGGACCAAACCAUACACCAAAUCCUGUGGACCAUACUAUACACCAAAUCCACGAACUAUGAAUCAAGUUCAUGAAUCAAAUCAAGUUCAUGAGCCAUGGAUCAUAAACCACAAACCAUACACCAAGUCCAUGAACCAUAAAUCCAUGAACCAUAAACCCAUGAACCAUAAAACCAUGAACCAUAUCUAAGUUCAUGAACCAUAAUCCCAUAUACCCAAUACCAUAAACCUUGUGAACCAAACCUUCGACCGAAACGUCGUUAAACUAAUCCACCAAAUCAAUCGACCGAAACGUCGUUAAACUAAACCUAAAUCCGAUAUCGACCGAAAUGUCGUUAAACUAAACUCAAGUUCAAUUUUCACGAACAUCCCACAAUUCCCAAAAUAUUCGAUUCUCUAGCAUAUAAAACUAGAGUCAAAUCACAAUCAUGUUCAAACUUGAUCAAAUUCUAAACCUAUAUUUAGAAUUGAUCAAACCAUCUGAUCAAAUUAAUUUGUUGGAUUCCAAUACAUACACUUGGAGUUUAAUUUAAAUCAAAUCUGACUAAUCCUAAUACAUAUAAUUAGGAUUUAGUUAAUAUUUCACCUUGAGAUGAACCAAAAUCAAAUGUGACUAAGCUCUAAUACAUAAACUUAGAGCCUAAUUGUAUCAGACUCUAAAAUAUAAAAUUAGAGUCUAAUUCAAGAUAUUUGGGGCUAAUCCUAACACAUAUAUUUAGGAUGAAAGCUCAAAUCAUACUCUAUUGGACUUUAUUACAUAUAUUUAAAGUUCAAUUAACCAAAUCAAACUCUAAUACAUAUAAUUAGAGUUUAAUCUGAAUUAAAUCUGAUUAAAUUCCAAUGCAUAUAUAUAUGGAAUUUAAUCAAUCUUUCAUCUUAGGAUGAAUAGUGUUGAGCUCCACAACAUAUAGAGUCCAACAAAAUUAAUUUGACCAUAUAUUGGGUAUCUUAGAAUAUAUAACUAAGAUACAAUUGAAAAAUACAUUUUCUUUACGCUCUAUUCAUGUACACUGAGGGUAUGCCCUUGGUUAAAGCCAUGUAAUUGAGCAAUAAAUUAUAAAUUUCCUUUUGUCCAAUUCCAGUUUAUCUUCAGCAUUUCAGAGGUCUCUUAAUCGAAGGUGCCCUAAUAUUCUAUAGGGGUAAUUAACAAUAGACGCUUGCGUUUAUUGGAAGCUAUGGAUCCGCAAUACCUGAUAACCAUACAUACACAUACUUUAAUCUACAUCAUGAAUACUACCCCACGGGAGAACCAAAAGAUAAAAAUUCUCCGUGCGAGGUAUGUCAUUCGUGGUGGCAGACACA
rnacentral:lncRNA from 1 species